rnacentral:rRNA from 1 species
GAUGAACGCUGGCGGCGUGCCUAAUACAUGCAAGUCGAGCGAAUGGAUUAAGAGCUUGCUCUUAUGAAGUUAGCGGCGGACGGGUGAGUAACACGUGGGUAACCUGCCCAUAAGACUGGGAUAACUCCGGGAAACCGGGGCUAAUACCGGAUAACAUUUUGAACCGCAUGAUUCGAAAUUGAAAGGCGGCUUCGGCUGUCACUUAUGGAUGGACCCGCGUCGCAUUAGCUAGUUGGUGAGGUAACGGCUCACCAAGGCAACGAUGCGUAGCCGACCGGAGAGGGUGAGCGGCAAGACUGGGACUGAGACACGGCCCAGACUCCUACGGGAGGCAGCAGUAGGGAAUCUUCCGCAAUGGACGAAAGUCUGACGGAGCAACGCCGCGUGAGUGAUGAAGGCUUUCGGGUCGUAAAACUCUGUUGUUAGGGAAGAACAAGUGCUAGUUGAAUAAGCUGACACCUUGACGGUACCUAACCAGAAAGCCACGGCUAACUACGUGCCAGCAGCCGCCGUAA